rnacentral:lncRNA from 1 species
UGAGUUAACUUGGCAAGUAUUCACUGCACUGUGAGCGAAGAGGGAGCACCUGCGUACAUGGCCUGGAGCCUCAGUUGUGCUUCUUCCCUGUCCAGGCAGCUGUUCUGUGACUUUGGAGAGGAAAUGAUUGUCAGAGAUUCCACUGGGGAAGAGCCACUGAGCGCUGUGAUUUCCGUGGUCACCAAGGACUGCCCUGGAGUUGUCACCUGCCUGGAGGAAGCCCAGCAUGGGUUUGAGAGCGGCGAUUUUGUCUCCUUCUCGCAAGUCCAGGGCAUGAGUGAACUCAAUGACAUGCGGCCCAUAGAGAUCCAAGUCCUAGGUAUACCAGGGCUGGGGGUGGUGAGAAAUGGUUGGCCAGAGCAGACGGAAAGUGAUUGGUGGGUGAGGCUUGUCCCAGGUGCGCAUUUCUGUGGUCUGAGCCGAAUUGGAGGCCAGAAGAGAGGUGGGACUGCAAUCUGAGCUGGGGUGCAGGAGAGACGGGCACGGGGUCUGACUGCAAAUACGUUGCCCAGAAAGAUGAAGGAAGAAGAACUUUAUGGUACUAGUGUUUUCCAUUUCCUUUG